rnacentral:rRNA from 1 species
GACGAACGCUGGCGGCGCGCCUAACACAUGCAAGUCGAACGAGAGAUGAGGAGCUUGCUCUUCAAAUCGAGUGGCGAACGGGUGAGUAACGCGUGAGGAACCUGCCUCAAAGAGGGGGACAACAGUUGGAAACGACUGCUAAUACCGCAUAAGCCCACGGCUCGGCAUCGAGCAGAGGGAAAAGGAGCAAUCCGCUUUGAGAUGGCCUCGCGUCCGAUUAGCUAGUUGGUGAGGUAAUGGCCCACCAAGGCGACGAUCGGUAGCCGGACUGAGAGGUUGAACGGCCACAUUGGGACUGAGACACGGCCCAGACUCCUACGGGAGGCAGCAGUGGGGAAUAUUGCACAAUGGGGGAAACCCUGAUGCAGCGACGCCGCGUGGAGGAAGAAGGUCUUCGGAUUGUAAACUCCUGUUGUUGAGGAAGAUAAUGACGGUACUCGACAAGGAAGUGACGGCUAACUACGUGCCAGCAGCCGCGGUAAAACGUAGGUCACAAGCGUUGUCCGGAAUUACUGGGUGUAAAGGGAGCGCAGGCGGGAAGACAAGUUGGAAGUGAAAUCCAUGGGCUCAACCCAUGAACUGCUUUCAAAACUGUUUUUCUUGAGUAGUGCAGAGGUAGGCGGAAUUCCCGGUGUAGCGGUGGAAUGCGUAGAUAUCGGGAGGAACACCAGUGGCGAAGGCGGCCUACUGGGCACCAACUGACGCUGAGGCUCGAAAGUGUGGGUAGCAAACAGGAUUAGAUACCCUGGUAGUCCACACCGUAAACGAUGAUUACUAGGUGUUGGAGGAUUGACCCCUUCAGUGCCGCAGUUAACACAAUAAGUAAUCCACCUGGGGAGUACGACCGCAAGGUUGAAACUCAAAGGAAUUGACGGGGGCCCGCACAAGCAGUGGAGUAUGUGGUUUAAUUCGACGCAACGCGAAGAACCUUACCAAGUCUUGACAUCCCUUGACGAUGCUGGAAACAGUAUUUCUCUUCGGAGCAAGGAGACAGGUGGUGCAUGGUUGUCGUCAGCUCGUGUCGUGAGAUGUUGGGUUAAGUCCCGCAACGAGCGCAACCCUUAUGGUCAGUUACUACGCAAGAGGACUCUGGCCAGACUGCCGUUGACAAAACGGAGGAAGGUGGGGAUGACGUCAAAUCAUCAUGCCCUUUAUGACUUGGGCUACACACGUACUACAAUGGCGUUAAACAAAGAGAAGCAAGACCGCGAGGUGGAGCAAAACUCAGAAACAACGUCCCAGUUCGGACUGCAGGCUGCAACUCGCCUGCACGAAGUCGGAAUUGCUAGUAAUCGUGGAUCAGCAUGCCACGGUGAAUACGUUCCCGGGCCU